CAGUAGCCGCGGUAAAACCAGCACCUCGAGUGGUCAGGAGGUUUAUUGGGCCUAAAGCAUCCGUAGCCGGUUGCAUAAGUUUUCGGUUAAAUCUAUGCGCUUAACGUAUAGGCCGCCGAAAAUACUGUGCAGCUAGGGAGUGGGAGAGGUACACGGUACUCGAUAGGAAGGGGUAAAAUCCUUUGAUCUAUUGAUGACCACCUGUGGCGAAGGCGGUGUACCAGAACACGUUCGACGGUGAGGGAUGAAAGCUGGGGGAGCAAACCGGAUUAGAUACCCCUGUAGUCCCUGUCUCUUAUAC
rnacentral:rRNA from 1 species